UUCCCCAAUAUCUUGAAGUUCUUGGAGAGCUGGAAUGGUGGCCUGUUGCCGUAUAUGUGCCCAUCCUUCAGCUGCAUCUCCAGAAAUUCCAGGGUUGAGAAUUCUAAUAGACUGGCCUAUGGAAAAGAAAACAGAGAAAAGCGAUUAGUUAUGGAGCUGCUGAUUAUAAGAAGAGAGAGGCAUGAGGAAUAUACCGAGAGCCCCAGAAAAAAAGGUAUUGAGAAAACUGCUGGAAAAUGCUCCAUAUGGGAGAGUGGACUCAGGACACUUCCAGAUCAGUAACUCAGGUAAAGAGUAGAGUGGGGAACAACAUUCCUCCUAAACUUUAACGGUAGAGUGGGGAACCACUUGAGGUCCCUGCUUGCUCAACUGUUAGAGGAGACUGUAAAUCUCUAUUUUGCUAGGCUGCAUGUGCAGUCCUAAACAUUCUUUUAUGCAUGUGAUUACUAAAGCCACUACAAGGAGAAGCCAGGCAGAUGACUUAAGUUAUUUCUCUGUUACAAGGAUCAUUGUGCUACAGUUGAUAGAAUACCGAGGGACAACGUAAAAUAUGGUUAUGCCUUGUCUCUCACUAGUGAAAGACGUAAUAAGAGGAAUGUGAACUAGAGUCAUCAAGUAAAACUGCUUCUUGAGCCUUUCCAUGGGCACCCAUUUUUUUAUCUGCCUGGCAUCCUUUUGGGGGAACACAUUCCCUUCCCACUUUCCAAAGUAUUCCUCGUCAGGUGGUUUGGCCCAAGGACGGGUAUGUGAUCCAGAUUCAGUCAAUCAGGGUAUUUUAUCUUUCUAGUCACAGUGAUUAGUUCCUGAAAGGGUAUUUAGCCAGAAGUCUCUCUGGUAAUUUACCAGCUAUCCAGAAAAAUACCCUUUUUCCAGGAUCAUGGGCUCAAGGAACUCCGGAGGUCUGAGGCAACCAGAGUCCAUCUGACUGACACAUGGAGUGAGCUUGAAGAUGAAGCCAAGCAGAGGCAAAUGGGGUAGGGAACGAGGGCGGAGAGGUCCUAACCUGUACUAUAUCCACUCUAAGAGAUCCUUGUAUGGGUGAAGCUGAGUAGAAGGACAGGUUUCUACCAGUCUCUACAAAUGGGGCAAUCAGGUCUCAGACUCACCAUAGAACCAGUUGUCCUUGUCAGAAGAUGACAAUUUCUCCUGAGAUUUUUUUGUGGGAGGGGACUGAUGAUAUCAAAUAACCAGGAGGGACUAUUUGAAGCUAUUUGCCUUUGGGUAACUUCCAGUUUACUGUAUACCUGUCCGCUCUCUCUGAAGCCUUCUGUGUACCACACUCCCACUCCUACCCCCGCCCCGCUCUCUUCUGUCUACCCGCAUUACCAUUCACCUAGGGGAAAAAAGAGUGAGGAAGAAGAGUGAGAGAGCAUCCAAACCCAACAUAAUUAGUCUUCUUGUCUAUCUCAGACAUCAGACUUUAGAAUGUUUGAAGGCAGAGCUGUGUCUCCCACUCCUGGAUCAAGGUGUUACACAGCCCCAGAACUUAGUAAGCGAGUCAGUGAACCUGAGUGAAUCUGGAAGGGCCUCUAGAGAUAGAGACCCUGCAGUAUUCAGCCUGAGAAAGUCAUUGCUUUGGAUGAAAGCACUGCCUCUCCAAGCAUCCUCUUAAGAAAUGCAAAUACUCAGAGGAAACGUAAGGUACUGCCCUGUUGCCCAGCAAUUCUUGUUUUUGGCAGCUAUCAGAACAAGGGGAAGUACAAACAUUGGAUUUUAGAGAAGAGUCUGAGUAUGAUAGGGCACAAAUUUGGUUAACUAAUUUGGAAAAUGGUUUGGCGUACCUCCUAAAGUUGAACGUUUGUAUGGGUAUAAUCCAACAAUUCAUUCCAAGGGAUGGACCCAAGGGAAACUCAUGCAGAUUUGCAACAGGACACAUGUGCAAGAAUGUUCACAGUUGCACUGAUCACAGUGUGAAAACCUGGCAACAGCUCAAAUGCCCAUCAACAGGAGAGUGGAUAGAUGAAUUGUACUAUAUUCACGUAGCUGAAUAUUACAUGGCAAUAAAAACAAAUGAACUAUGCUAAUUCA
ensembl:lncRNA